AUUGAACGCUGGCGGCAGGCCUAACACAUGCAAGUCGAGCGGAGCGGCGGACGGGUGAGUAAUGCCUGGGAAUCGGCCUGGAGGUGGGGGAUAACGUCCGGAAAGGGGCGCUAAUACCGACUACUAUCAGUUGAGCCUGGGCAGGAUUAGCUAGUUGGUGGGUUAAAGGCCUACCAAGGCGACGAUCGGUAACUGGUCUGAGAGGAUGAUCAGUCACACUGGAACUGAGACACGGUCCAGACUCCUACGGGAGGCAGCAGUGGGGAAUAUUGGACAAUGGGCGAAAGCCUGAUCCAGCCAUGCCGCGUGUGUGAAGAAGGUCUUCGGAUUGUAAAGCACUUUAAGUUGGGAGGCGUUACCAACAGAAUAAGCACCGGCUAACUACGUGCCAGCAGCCGCGGUAAUUC
rnacentral:rRNA from 1 species